AAGGACCCAGUAAGACCUUGCCCUUCAGGUCUUUUACAUCAAAUCAGCCUACAUUGUCUGAAUCAUAUGCACUGAAGAUUACAGACCAAUUCACAGACAAAGAAGUGAAAGUGAUGAUUGAAAAGAAGAACCACCAAUGUCCUCUCGCUUAGUUUCCCUUGAAAAGAAUGAACAAAAUAAUCUGCGUAGCCUUGCAACCAGGGAACAGAUUUCCUGUGUAGUGUUCACAACUUUGGCAAG